rnacentral:misc_RNA from 1 species
AUCUUUAUCAGUUUACAGCAGGGAUGAGGCGUAACGUAGGUGACCGGCGGAGUAGCGCCUGCACACAGACAGACCUACUGGACGUGUCGAUAUGGGUUACCACCCAGAGGCGGGGGUCCGCCGACAUCAUAGACACCGCCAUCAAAUCACACAACAUCAAGAAGGACUGGCAUGCCAGCUUAAAGGAGAUUGGAAUCUUCUGGGGAGGCUCCCUCAUCAUGCAAACCGUGAUCGGUCCCGGAAUUUUCACCUCCCCUAAGAACGUGGUGUCGGGAGCAGGGUCCGUGGGUCUGACCUUUGUCAUCUGGGCCCUGUGUGGGGUGUUCUCUACAUGUGCUGCCUUGUGUUUCUCUGAGCUCCAAAUCUUUGUCCGACGGGCGGGCUGUGAGUAUGGCUACCUCCACAAAGCCUUCGGUCCCCUUCCCGCCUUUAUCUACACGUGGAUGCGUAUUGGUGCGGCCGAACCUUGCACCACUGCUGUCUUUGCCAAAGCGUUUGCCAGCUACAUCGCAGAUUUAAUCGGCGACGAUUGUGGACCGCCAGCUAUCCUUCACAAGCUGCUGGCCAUUUUAGCGAUCAUAACACUGUCCAUCGUCAAUGCAUACAACGUACAGUUGGCGAGACAGAUGAUAUCUGUAUCAAAUCUGGCAAAAGUCAUCACUAUCGGUACCAUUAUAGCCAGCGGAAUAUACAAUAUUUCAUCCGGAAGAACGGGGUCGCUGGGGGAGGGAUUUAAAAACACCGAGUCCUCCAACAACCACGUGGUCUUUGCCGUCUACAACUCCAUGUGGGCUUAUGGUGGAUGAAAUCUUCCUCGAUUGGUAAAGAUCGUCAUUCCGACGGUGAUGCUGAUUUACCUGUCCACUGUGACGUCAUACUUCACGGUGCUGACGCCGGAAGAAAUGACGGCGCAUCGCUGGUUUGGGGUUACGUGGGGACGAAAAAUGUUAGGAGGGGCAGGCUUUCUUAUCCCUGUCGGCGUUGCAUUUGUUGCUUUGGGAAAUGCCAACAACACAAUCAUAGCAUCGGGGAGAUUAUCGUCAAUUUCUGCGGAGGACGGAUAUGUCCCGGAGUUUCUAACAUACAGACACGUCAGGACGAAGAGUCAUAUUCCGGCCAUCAUUAUGAGGGCAAUAGCAGCAAUCGUCAUGGCCACGUGUCUGUCCUCCCAGCUGAUGGUACGGUUCUGGAUUUUCACGGUCUGGUUGUUUCACGGACUCGCCAUUUUUGGUCUGAUCGUCAUGAGGAUUCGCAAACCCCACCUCCCUAGGCCGUACAAAGUGAACAUACUAAUCCCUAUCUUUGUGACCCUGGGGGCGGGCUACUUGGUGAUUGCCCCCCUCACAGUCUACCCACUGAAGGGCGAGUUCAUCCUGACGCUGGCCGUGGCUGGAUCCGCCGUUGUGUUCUAUGUCCCGCUAGUCAGGUGGAGUUGGAAUAAAAAGAUUACAGAUUACUUUACGGUUUUCUUCCAACUGUUCUUUGAGAUCGUUCCAGAGAAACGUUUCCAGAAGCGUCAGAGACAAAAGAAAUCCCGGCGACCGGCGUCCGUAGCGCCGAUGACGACACUGGAGCCCAUCGAGGAAAUGAUAAACGAGUUUGACGACGCCUCUUCGGUAAGAAGGAUGGGUCGCCAGGACUCCAACGACGCAUGCUCAGUUGACUUUUCCGACGUGUUCACGGUGGCGACCUAUGACACCAUGGGGUCACUGGAUGACCUUGAGUCGAUGGACGGGACCAUUGACGACUCCGUGUCAAACUUCAGUAGCUCGCCCUCUAGCGGCGAAAACUCGCCCCCGCCGAGGUACGAGGAAUCCUUCGACUAUGUGACCAAGCUGUGAAAGGUGUUGCAUGUUACACCAUUGGGUCAUAUUUAUUCGGACAAGAACGGGUUUUAACGAUUUAUCUGGUCCAAAAUAUAAUGAUAAAGGCACGGGAUCGUUCUUUUAGGCAUGGGAAUCAUUCUUUCUUGCGACCAAAAACAAUAAAUCACAGAGACCAUUCUAUUUGGCAGCUGCAAGAUUUGGCUAGUUCAAUUGCCAGUCACCGAGAAAAUUCUGAAUCUAAAGAGUUCAGAGCGAUGUCAUCAUGCCAUGCUAGUUUUAUCAAAUUGAUCAAUGGGAGGUUACAAAGUUUUGUCUGUGAUAAAAUGUUUAGAUAUAUAUGUUUGAUUUGUUUUGUUACAAAGUAUUUAUUUUAUUCAUUGUUAAUUUGUUACAACUUUGUUUUCGACAUUUGAUAAAAUUGUUUUCUUUU